ensembl:lncRNA
UGGAGAAGGAGUAACACUGCCCCCACGAAUCUACUGUUUUUGCUCACACCUUGAAGAGGAGAUUUUCGUAAACACGCACCACGGAAUACAUACAAAAGGGGUUAAAAGUUUUGAAGUUGGACUGAAAACAAAGAGAAGGAGAAGAACGAUAUAGGAGAAGUAACCAUAUAAGAGAGCUAUGGAGCCUGCCUACGUGAACAGAGAGGUCUAUGCUGAAAACCAGAAUAACUCGCCGUACAUUUUCCAGGAGGAAGUGAAAGUCCAGCAUGCGGAGAAUGUGUGGACCAGCCAGCCUGAGGCCACGAGGACGCAGGCACACUCCACCGAGUCCAAGGCUGACAAGCAGGAGGAAAACUGCUGCAUGGGGUGCUGUCGGAGCACCCACCGCUGCCUGAUGAGCGGGGAAUGCGGCCGCGCACUCAACAUCGCCAGCGUGGUCGCCAUGUGCGGCAUGUGCCUGCGCUUUUUCAUCUAGAUCUAAAUCCAUACAUCAGCCUAGAUCUUUCAUCACACCAUGAAGAAACUCAACAGAGAACGCAGAGUGGGACGAGUGGGACGACAAGCCUAGUAUUCUCUACCCUGUUUCUGUAUAUGUCCCUAUUGGUAGCUCUGUCUAAGUGUGACGCAACAGGAAGUAAAGGGUGUAUAUCUUCCAACAUGCACAUGUGAGAACAAAGAAGUAAAGCUGCGUAUAUAUAUGUGUGUGUGUGUGUGUAUGUGUGUGUGUGUGUGUCUGUGUGUGUGAGUCUUUUAUGUAUAUUAUUCUUUCUAAGUUAGUAUUAUUUCUCAAACCUAAAAUGACGGACAAAUUGGUCUCUGAGGGUUUGUGGAACAUGUGACUCAAUCGUGCAAUGAUAAAUAAUAUCAUAUCUCACUACUAAUCUCCUGUUACACAACAUGCCAAGCCUUCAGGGUUAUGCCUGUAGGCUAAAUCGCGGUUGAACAACAAACAAUGCUCAUGCAGCUUCAGUUCCAUCCGGUGAAAGCAACUAUAUUCUCUGAACACAUUGUGGUGGAAUAAUGUAAGCCUACUGCUUGGGUAUGUUUUUAUAGACCCCCACUGUGUUCAGUGAUAAACAACUAUUUAUGACAUGUCAGCAUCUAUGCUUUCCUCUCCUUUUUUGUUCUCAUCUCGAGAGAUCUUCCUCUGUCCCACCCCCUUACGGAGAUCUGUGAUCUCUGUCCUCUAUCUCCUGAGAGAGCAGAGCAAAGAAUGUGUGAUUGAGAAAACAAGCGUGGAGGUUGACCUCGCUUGUUCACAGGCUUUCAUGAUUUCUAUCAUUUUGCACUUGUAGUGGUGG